rnacentral:rRNA from 1 species
UACGUAGGUGGCAAGCGUUGUCCGGAUUUAUUGGGUUUAAAGGGUGCGUAGGCGGUUUUUUAAGUCAGUGCUGAAAUACUCCAGCUUAACUGGAGGGGUGGCAUUGAUACUGGAAGACUUGAGUACAGAUGAGGUAGGCGGAAUUGACGGUGUAGCGGUGAAAUGCAUAGAUAUCAGGAGGAACACCGGUGGCGAAGGCGGUUCUCUGGGCAUUACCUGACGCUGAGGAGCGAAAGCAUGGGGAGCGAACAGG